GAUGAACGCUGGCUACAGGCUUAACACAUGCAAGUCGAGGGGAAACGACGGGGAAGCUUGCUUCCCCGGGCGUCGACCGGCGCACGGGUGAGUAACGCGUAUCCAACCUGCCUCUGACUGAGGGAUAACCCGUCGAAAGUCGGCCUAAUACCUCAUGGCAUCGUCUGCGGGCAUCCAACGACGAUUAAAGAUUUCAUCGGUCAGGGAUGGGGAUGCGUCUGAUUAGCUUGUUGGCGGGGUAACGGCCCACCAAGGCUACGAUCAGUAGGGGUUCUGAGAGGAAGGUCCCCCACAUUGGAACUGAGACACGGUCCAAACUCCUACGGGAGGCAGCAGUGAGGAAUAUUGGUCAAUGGGCGGGAGCCUGAACCAGCCAAGUAGCGUGCANGAAGACGGCCCUAUGGGUUGUAAACUGCUUUUAUGCGGGGAUAAAGUGAGGGACGUGUCCUUCAUUGCANGUACCGCAUGAAUAAGGACCGGCUAAUUCCGUGCCAGCAGCCCGCGUAAUACGGAAAGGUCUGGCCGUAUCCGGAUUUAUUGGGUUUAAGGGAGCGUAGGCCGUGGAUAAGCGUGUUGUGAAAUGCAGGUGCUCAACGUCUGCACUGCAGCGCGAACUGGUCCACUAGAGUGUGCGCAACGCAGGCGGAAUUCGUCGUGUAGCGGUGAAAUGCUUAGAUAUGACGAAGAACUCCGAUUGCGAAGGCAGCCUGCGGGAGCACAACUGACGCUGAAGCUCGAAAGUGCGGGUAUCGAACAGGAUUAGAUACCCUGGUAGUCCGCACGGUAAACGAUGGAUGCCCGUUGUCAGGCUGUUUCAGCCUGGUGACCAAGCGAAAGCAUUAAGCAUCCCACCUGGGGGGUACGCCGGCAACGGUGAAACUCAAAGGAAUUGACGGGGGCCCGCACAAGCGGAGGAACAUGUGGUUUAAUUCGAUGAUACGCGAGGAACCUUACCCGGGCUUGAAUUGCAGACGAACGAUUCAGAGAUGAUGAGGCCUUUCGGGGCGUCUGUGAAGGUGCUGCAUGGUUGUCGUCAGCUCGUGCCGUGAGGUGUCGGCUUAAGUGCCAUAACGAGCGCAACCCCUUUCUUCAGUUGCCAUCAGGUGAUGCUGGGCACUCUGUAGACACUGCCACCGCAAGGUGUGAGGAAGGUGGGGAUGACGUCAAAUCAGCACGGCCCUUACGUCCGGGGCUACACACGUGUUACAAUGGCCGGUACAGAGAGUUGAUUUUGUGCAAACACGAUCCAAUCCUUAAAUCCGGUCCCAGUUCGGACUGGGGUCUGCAACCCGACCCCACGAAGCUGGAUUCGCUAGUAAUCGCGCAUCAGCCAUGGCGCGGUGAAUACGUUCCCGGGCCU
rnacentral:rRNA from 1 species